AGUCACGCUGGCGGCGUGCCUAAUACAUGCAAGUCGAGCGAACUGAUUAGAAGCUUGCUUCUAUGACGUUAGCGGCGGACGGGUGAGUAACACGUGGGCAACCUGCCUGUAAGACUGGGAUAACUUCGGGAAACCGAAGCUAAUACCGGAUAGGAUCUUCUCCUUCAUGGGAGAUGAUUGAAAGAUGGUUUCGGCUAUCACUUACAGAUGGGCCCGCGGUGCAUUAACUAGUUGGUGAGGUAACGGCUCACCAGGGACAUGCCUACCCGAACUGAAAGGUGAUCCGGCCCCUUGGAAUGGAAACCCGGCCCAAAUUCUAUCGGAGGGCACCCCAAGGGACUCUUCUUUAAUGAACGAAAGUCUGACGAACCACCCCCCCAAGGUGAGGAAGUUUUCGGGGGGUAAAACUCUGUUGAAGGAAAACAAUAUAAAAAUGCUCGAACCUUGACGGUACCAAAC
rnacentral:rRNA from 2 species